CUUGGUCAUUUAGAGGAAGUAAAAGUCGUAACAAGGUUUCCGUAGGUGAACCUGCGGAAGGAUCAUUACAGUGUUCGCUGCCCCCACGGGUAGCAAACCUCACCCUUGUGUAUUAUAUCUUUGUUGCUUUGGCACGCCGCCUUCGGGUACCGGCUUCGGCUGGCUCGUGCGUGUCAAAGGACCUUAAACUCUGAAUGUUAGUGUCGUCUGAGUACUAUCUAAUAGUUAAAACUUUCAACAACGGAUCUCUUGGUUCUGGCAUCGAUGAAGAACGCAGCGAAAUGCGAUAAGUAAUGUGAAUUGCAGAAUUCAGUGAAUCAUCGAAUCUUUGAACGCACAUUGCGCCCGGUGGUAUUCCGCCGGGCAUGCCUGUUCGAGCGUCAUUUAAACCAAUCCAGCCUCGUGCUUGGGUCUUGGGCCUUUCGCCUCUGGGCGGGCCUCAAAAUCAGUGGCGGUGCCGUCUGGCUCUAAGCGUAGUAAUUCUUCUCGCUACAGGGUCCUGGUGGAGGCUUGCCAACAACCCCAAAUAUUUCAAAGGUUGACCUCGGAUCAGGUAGGAAUACCCGCUGAACUUAAGCAUAUCAAUAAGCGGAGGA
rnacentral:rRNA from 1 species